rnacentral:rRNA from 1 species
UACGAAGGGGGCUAGCGUUGUUCGGAAUUACUGGGCGUAAAGCGCACGUAGGCGGACAUUUAAGUCAGGGGUGAAAUCCCGGGGCUCAACCCCGGAACUGCCUUUGAUACUGGGUGUCUAGAGUGUGGAAGAGGUGAGUGGAAUUCCGAGUGUAGAGGUGAAAUUCGUAGAUAUUCGGAGGAACACCAGUGGCGAAGGCGGCUCACUGGUCCACCACUGACGCUGAGGUGCGAAAGCGUGGGGAGCAAACAGG